GUAAGGAAUAUUGGACAAUGGGCGCAAGCCUGAUCCAGCCAUGCCGCGUGAGUGAUGAAGGCCUUAGGGUUGUAAAGCUCUUUCAGUAGGGAAGAUAAUGACGGUACCUACAGAAGAAGCCCCGGCUAACUUCGUGCCAGCAGCCGCGGUAAUACGAAGGGGGCUAGCGUUGUUCGGAAUUACUGGGCGUAAAGCGCACGUAGGCGGAUCGGAAAGUUGGGGGUGAAAUCCCAGGGCUCAACCCUGGAACUGCCUUCAAAACUAUCGGUCUGGAGUCCGAGAGAGGUGAGUGGAAUUCCGAGUGUAGAGGUGAAAUUCGUAGAUAUUCGGAGGAACACCAGUGGCGAAGGCGGCUCACUGGCUCGGUACUGACGCUGAGGUGCGAAAGCGUGGGGAGCAAACAGGAUUAGAAACCCGGGUAGUCC
rnacentral:rRNA from 1 species